GAUGAACGCUAGCGGCAGGCUUAAUACAUGCAAGUCGAGGGGGAUUAUUUUUGUAGCAAUACAGAGAUAUGAGACCGGCAAACGGGUGCGGAACACGUACGCAACCUUCCCAAAACUGGUGAAUAGCCCUCCGAAAGGAGGAUUAAUACACCGUAACAUAAUGAAGUGGCAUCACUUUAUUAUUAUAGCUCCGGCAGUUUUGGAUGGGCGUGCGCCUGAUUAGGUAGUUGGCGGGGUAACGGCCCACCAAGCCUGCGAUCAGUGACUGGUGUGAGAGCACGACCAGUCACACGGGCACUGAGACACGGGCCCGACUCCUACGGGAGGCAGCAGUAAGGAAUAUUGGUCAAUGGACGGAAGUCUGAACCAGCCAUGCCGCGUGGAGGAUGAAGGUCCUCUGGAUUGUAAACUUCUUUUAUAGGGGGCGAAAAAAGGGAAUUCUUUCUCGUCUGACGGUACCCUAUGAAUAAGCACCGGCUAACUCCGUGCCAGCAGCCGCGGUAAAAC
rnacentral:rRNA from 1 species